GGAAACCAGAGCAGUGUGCUCCUCAAAUGCGACUGUCUCCACUGAUGUUCCCAGGACACCAAAGGAGCAAACAGAGUGUGGAAGGAAACAGCAGACCAAGAUGAUGGCAACCAUUCAAGCAGAGCCAUAGAAUGCCACACCAAUGAAUACUCCUCAACCAUCACAGAGGAUUUUGUUUUGGGAUCUGCUAUGGGUGAGUGAUUUUCUUUGUUAAAAAGUCUUGGUAGUAACCAUUUUAAAAAUCUUCCAGGGCUGGAUCAGUAAUGGCAGUAUGGAAUAGCUGAGAUUCAUAUGCUUGUGAUGAAUGGAUAGUUAUUAGUAGAGCAAAAAACUCUCUAAAGCCCACAAAUAUAAUUGUGUCUUUUGAUCACCAGGCAAAGACAAGAUACCCAAGAAGAAGGGCAGAGUUGGCCGUUUCUAUCAUCACAUAUUCAAGGGGGUUAGACGCAGCUUCACAAGCUGCACUUCAUCCAGAGCAGUAAUGGAUUAGUUUCUUUUAUUCUAUUUUUAUUUGUUUUAUUUUUAUUUUGUUUCAUUAUUUUUUACUUAACCUUACUGAAAGGAAACUCAAAAGGUCCACAAGAUUUACAUUUAAUUUACAUUAAUGCCACGACCUCCAGUGCAUUGUCCAUGCACAAACAUAACAAACCUGUUUUAUUUGAGAAGUGGUCUUCAAUUAAGUUCUGCUCACCAGCCAGCUCAAACAAACUUUUAAUGAUUUAAACCACUGCCCCAUUCAAUGUUCAAAUAUAUAAGAAUUUCCAUGAUAUAAAUAAGCUUCUUAUAUUGUCAUAUAAAUUAUGAAUUGAAAUUUAAAAAGCAGUUUUGGGUGAGCUCCCUGCAGUCAUUUGCAGGUUUGAGCUCCUCAUCUCUUUACCUGGAAAUAUACCAAGCAAAUGCAAGGACUACUUUGGUACAAACUGGACUAAAUGACCUCUUAGCAUUUCAUUUUGG
ensembl:lncRNA